rnacentral:rRNA from 1 species
GAUGAACGCUGGCGGCGUGCCUAAUACAUGCAAGUCGAGCGAACAGACGAGGAGCUUGCUCCUCUGACGUUAGCGGCGGACGGGUGAGUAACACGUGGAUAACCUACCUAUAAGACUGGGAUAACUUCGGGAAACCGGAGCUAAUACCGGAUAAUAUAUUGAACCGCAUGGUUCAAUAGUGAAAGACGGUUUUGCUGUCACUUCUAGCUGGAUCCGCGCCGCAUUAGCUAGUUGGUAAGGUAACGGCUUACCAAGGCAACGAUGCGUAGCCGACCUGAGAGGGUGAUCGGCCACACUAGAACGGAGACACGGUCCAUACUCCUACGGGAGGCAGCAGUAGGGAAUCGUCCGCAAUGGGCGAAAGCCUGACGGAGCAACGCCGCGUGAGUGAUGAAGGUCUUCGGAUCGUAAAACUCUGUUAUGAGUGAAAAACAAAUGUGUAAGUAACUAUGCACGUCUUGACGGUACCUAAUCAGAAAGCCACGGCUAACUACGUG